ACUGGUCUUGUGUACCUUCUCAGGAAGCACAACUAUUUUCUCUCUUGGAUUAUAUUCAAGAGGAAGCAUGACUUUCCCGAGCCUGUGGCCGCUCCUCUCUCCAAGCCGGUGCCACGAAGGAAGUCGUCUGUGGGGUCCUUUGCAUCCCUCUCCUCUCUUGGAGGAUUCGCUAGAGGAAAAUCAAGCGGAAGUUAAUAGAGUCCGCCAAGCAGCUUAGCUCUGCAGGCUGUCGGGUCACUGUACUGAAGAGAGGCUUCCAGCUGCGGCUACAUUUAGUUUAAAGAAAUGUAUAGCACCCUGCACGUGUAAUAAAAGACCUUAGGAUGA